rnacentral:rRNA from 1 species
GACGAACGCUGGCGGCGUGCUUAACACAUGCAAGUCGAACGGAAAGGCCCUGCUUUUGUGGGGUGCUCGAGUGGCGAACGGGUGAGUAACACGUGAGUAACCUGCCCUUGACUUUGGGAUAACUUCAGGAAGCUGGGGCUAAUACCGGAUAGGAGCUCCUGCUGCAUGGUGGGGGUUGGAAAGUUUCGGCGGUUGGGGAUGGACUCGCGGCUUAUCAGCUUGUUGGUGGGGUAGUGGCUUACCAAGGCUUUGACGGGUAGCCGGCCUGAGAGGGUGACCGGCCACAUUGGGACUGAGAUACGGCCCAGACUCCUACGGGAGGCAGCGGUGGGGAAUAGUGCACAAUGGGCGGAAGCCUGAUGCAGCAACGCCGCGUGCGGGAUGACGGCCUUCGGGUUGUAAACCGCUUUCGCCUGUGACGAAGCGUGAGUGACGGUAAUGGGUAAAGAAGCACCGGCUAACUACGUG